rnacentral:snRNA from 1 species
ACGCUCAGGCCUCUCCUCAUUAUGACGACUUAAUCUUUCGCCUUUUACUAAAGAUUACCGUGGGGAGGGGCACUCCAAUGAGCCUAUAGGCCAAUUUUUGGAAGGCCACUACCGUUUGGUAGAGGCCU